UAGCAGAAUUGUGUAAGCAUUGCUUAAUCUU
rnacentral:piRNA from 1 species